GACGAACGCUGGCGGCGUGCCUAACACAUGCAAGUCGAACGGAGAUGCCGAGGUAGUUUACUACGGAGGUAUCUUAGUGGCGGACGGGUGAGUAACACGUGGGCAACCUGCCCCAAAGAGGGGGAUAACACCGAGAAAUCGGUGCUAAUACCGCAUAACAUUAGAGUUUCGCAUGGAGCUUUAAUCAAAGGAGGAAUCCGCUUUGGGAUGGGCCCGCGUCUGAUUAGCUAGUUGGUGAGGUAACGGCUCACCAAGGCGACGAUCAGUAGCCGAUCUGAGAGGAUGACCGGCCACACUGGAACUGAGACACGGUCCAGACUCCUACGGGAGGCAGCAGUGGGGAAUAUUGCACAAUGGGGGAAACCCUGAUGCAGCAACGCCGCGUGGAGGAAGAAGGUCUUCGGAUUGUAAACUCCUGUCUUCUGGGACGAAGUAUGACGGUACC
rnacentral:rRNA from 1 species